GUGGGGAAUAUUGGGCAAUGGGCGGAAGCCUGACCCAGCGACGCCGCGUGAGGGAAGAAGGUCUUCGGAUUGUAAACCUCUGUCCUUGGGGACGAAAAAAAUGACGGUACCCAAGGAGGAAGCUCCGGCUAACUACGUGCCAGCAGCCGCGGUAAUACGUAGGGAGCGAGCGUUGUCCGGAAUUACUGGGCGUAAAGGGUGCGUAGGCGGCUAGGCAAGUCAGAUGUGAAAUCCCCGGGCUUAACUCGGGUGGUGCAUUUGAAACUGCUUGGCUUGAGUGCAGGAGAGGAAAGCGGAAUUCCUAGUGUAGCGGUGAAAUGCGUAGAUAUUAGGAGGAACACCAGUGGCGAAGGCGGCUUUCUGGACUGUAACUGACGCUGAGGCACGAAAGCGUGGGGAGCAAACAGGAUUAGAAACCCGUGUAGUCC
rnacentral:rRNA from 1 species